UCACAGAGCCUUGCAAAUAAUAGCAAGAUAUGUACCAUUGACACCGUGGUUUCUCAUGCCAAUACUGGUGGAAAAAUUUCCAUUUGUUCGAAAAUCAGAGAGAACACUGGAAUGUUACGUUCAUAACUUACUAAGGAUUAGUGUAUAUUUUCCAACCUUGAGGCAUGAAAUUCUGGAGCUUAUUAUUGAAAAACUACUCAAGUUGG
rnacentral:lncRNA from 1 species